GUCUCGGUAGUGCAAGGGAUAGAGCAUCGUGCCUCGAAAGCACAAGUACGGGUUCGAUCCUGUCCGAGACU
rnacentral:tRNA from 1 species